UCCUGGGUAGAUCCCAGGGAGGUGAGUUGGUGGGGGAUAAAGAGCUCCUGUGUGGCCAGCAGCUGGCUGCAGUUCCCCAGGAAACAGCUUCCGGCAGACACUCAAUCUCCAGUUGUAACAGGUGGUGUGGAGUCCGCUGUCCCAGGGAGUGGGCUCAAGGCCUAGUCCUGCCAAUGAACUUGCUGUAGAAACUUUUCUGUCUAUCAAAUGAGCUUCUCCAUUUCCACCUUUGCAAACUCUGGACUCCAAGGACGCAAGAUGGCCGGAAACAAGAUGGUGGAGCAUGAAGGCCCUUGCCAGAUGACAGCACUAUGCCCUU
rnacentral:lncRNA from 1 species